GGCAAGGUGGCCGAGUGGUCUAAGGCGCCAGGUUCAGGUCUACCUGAAUUCACUUGAACAUCAGUUCAAUUUCCUGGUCUCGAAAGGGGCGCGAGUUCGAAUCUCGCCCUUGUCA